rnacentral:lncRNA from 10 species
GUAGCUGGCUCCAUGCACUGACCACAGACCCAGAGUGUGGAUCAUCAGUCAGGACUUCCAUCUUGCUCCCACAGCCCAUCUGCAUGAGUGAAGUCAAGUGAGCGUGAGGCCAUUCGCCACUCACCUGGUCUUUUCCAUUUCUCACUUGGCACUCCCCCCAGUCGCAGCACGUCUCUAAGCCCCUGUGUAUUCAUUCUGCCAAGAAAAUCCCAGCGCUGUUGUGCCACGCGAUUGGCCGAGAUGACUAAGAUCACCCAACUCACUCAAUUCCCUCCUCUUAUCACUAGACUCCAGGGGAACCAUUUUCAUUCCAAUGGUGUUAUUUUCCUGCCCCCUGUACCUCUUUCCCCUUCAGCUUUUACCCAACAUUUUACCAGUCUUUCUUACUGGAAGUUCCCAUCCUCACCCCCCUCCCCUUUGGGAGGUAGGAAGUCAUUUUUGCUGACUCAUUGUCCUCUGCCCUUCUGCUGCCCCACGUUGCUUCCCCCUUUCUCCGGAGCUGCUGCAGUCUUCUCCACAAGGUCUACUUUGCGGCCUUUCUGGAAACCAGCCCCUCUACUCUUUUGGGAUCUGGAGUUUGAGAGGUCUUGCUCUGUUGCCCAGGCUGGAGUGCGGCAGCUCAAUCUCGGCUCAUUGCAACCUCUACUUCCCAGACUCAAGCGACCAUCCCACCUUAGCCUCUCGAGUAGCCUGGUCUACAGGCGUGCACUGCCAUUAGUCCAGCUACUUUUUGAAAUGCUUAUGGAGUUGUUACCUAGGCUGGAGUGCAAUAUACCAUCUCCGCUCUCCGCAACCUCCGCCUCCCAGGUUCAAGUGAUUCUCCUGCCUCAGCCUCCCCAGUAG